GGGAUAACAUUGCCCAGCUGGAGCUGCUGCUCUCAGAACACCUGGUGGUUAAGGGUAGUGUGGCAGAGCACCUUUGGGGGUGCUUGCCACUUGAGGGCUCUCACAGGCUCAGAGGAGAGCCUGCUUUGGAGGAACAGCAGGGGUAACCUCCCCCAGGUACCAUUUUAAGGGGGGAGGUGUGUGGCAGGGCACUGUUUGUGCCUGCCACUUUAAGAUCUGGGCCAAGCAGCCAGCAGGUGCUUGAUUGUGGCAGCCAUUUUAGAUCCCUGGCUGCCUAUAUAAACAAAUCAGUUCCCUGCUGGUGGGGCAGGCAGCAACAUUGCCUGGCCGCAACACUUCGUGGAACAUCCUGGAGGAUUUCCAUCUCCCCUGUAUCUUGAGCUGGAUCAUCAGGCUUUGGAAACUGAAUUCACCUUGUACUGAGCAUACGUGGAAUUAAAUACAAUGGAACUGCUUAGCUGUACCACAUUCAAGAAAAAGAAUGGAUAAGAGAGAGAGAGAGGUGAACUAAUACAAGUGUACAAGGCAGGUCACACGAUAUUGCCACUGAAAUCAAGGGGAACAUUCAGGAUUGCUUGUACCUACAGGAGACAUCUGGGUGCAGCUCAGAGUGCAGUGACUACAAAUGUGCCUGAUCGUGAUGAACAGAGAAACGCCUGGAUCUUUCACUUUUGCAAAGAGCUCUCUGCAGGCUGGCGUACUUCCCGGAGAAGGGCGCUCAGGCACAGGGCACCAUGUGCAUGUGCGCACUCACACAUGCACAUGGCCACCAGGUAGCCUGGAGAACAGGUCCCAUAGAUUUGGAGGCUUUUAAUUGGAGAAUUGGUGAUUUUUGCAAAUAUGCAAAUCUGUAAUCGGAGAAUUUGCGAAAACCAGGAUCUUUUCAGAAAAUGUGAUAUUUGUAUCUCCAAUGGCUGACUGCAGCCUGAAUGCAGUGAUGUCUGGUGCAGGAAUAACUAGUGUGGAAAAAGCAUGGCCAUGAGGCUGAAGGUAACAGAAGGACUGAAAGCAAUUGCAUCGAGUACCCAAAUUAACGGAGCAGUCCAUGUAAGCCUUGGGCAAUGUAUGGUGCUGCUCUUUGAAGACAUAAUGGAUGCAGCAGGACCUUUCAAGGUUUAGAGAAGUAGAGGAAACACCUGCUUUGCCAUCAGCAUUCUUGCUAGCAGUGACACUACUGGUGACAGAAUCAGUCCCUUCCGGAGAUGAUUCAGACUCGGAAGACUCGUGGUAGUGAUGACAAAUGCCUGAGAAUUACUGAAAGCAGAACUAAUGAGCAGUGCCACUCAUUUAGCGUAUGGUUUGACAACAGAUGCACAUGUUGGUAAUUAAGUAUUUGGCUGCAUUACAUUAUUUUAUUUUUGGAUUUCUAAAAUACCCCCCAUCAUAAUCCCUGGGCACAUUUACACAGUUUAACUGUGUUACACUAAUGUAACAGUGAUAGAAAACUUGAUAUAAAGAAAUUCAAAUAAACUGCUUCCAAUGCUCAAUAGGUUGAGUAUGUGAAGGGCUUAGAAGGUACCCUGAAAAGUAAGCAAACUCAGGCCCUGACCCUGCAAAGACUUAAAAAGGAAUAAUCUCAUUGACUUCUUACAUGUGUGAGGUAAAGCACAUGAAGAAAUCUGUGAUAUCAAAGCUUUAGACCAAAUUGGGAUUUAAGUGAGAAAUUAAUGUCUCUUUACUAAGAAAGCUUGGCUUCUACCUGUUUUAGAGUCCAAAACUAGGGAUUGUUGGCAAGAUACUGUCUGAUCUUAACUGCAAUAUAGGUACAUAAAAAGAGAAAAGGUUUCCCACCCACAAACGCCACCCCCCAAGGAAACUCUCAGAUUUCUGGUAUUUACUAUAUACAGAAUAAAGAGGAAUGGUUUGAACCAUAUACAGUGGUCUUAAGAAUGUAAGAGCCAUACUUGGUCACAUUAAUCAUCCAUCUAGCCCAGUACUCUGUCUACAAAAAUGGCAAGAGUGGAUGCUUCAGAGGGAGAGUACUGAACUUGGUAUAUCUAGAGUGGCCUAUCCUGGUUUAUUACCUCCCCUGGCAUCUACCAUCAUAUGGCUGAUUGGGUGAAAAUUUGAGCCCUUACUGCAUGAGGGGUGAGAUGAAGAUUUUCAAAACAGAGCAUUUUUUGUUACUUCUGUCUGCUCUGCCUCCCCACCUGUUUUCAGAAUGGAAGGGGGGAAAGGGAGCAGAGGGAAUUUGAUUUGGGGGGUUUUCAGCCCCUGCUGGUGGGUGAGGUGGCUCCAACAUACCCGACUGAGAUGGGGGGCUCCAAUAUACCUACCCCACCCUCCAGAGUCUUCUGGGAAAUCCCUAGAAUGAGCUCCUUCUGCUCCCUUCCCCCACCCUCCCAUUCUGAAACAGAGACAGGCUGGGAGAGACGAAGGGCUGUUGCUAGGGGAAACCAGCUGCAGGCUCCCAGACAGCAGCUAGAUUCUCCUGCCCCUGGAACCAAGGGUGAACUUCUGUUUGUUCCAGGAAACUGUUGUAACUCAGAAUGUUUCCUGCAAAGCAUCCUCAGUUAGAGUGGGGUGCUGCACAUCUGCCUGCACCCACUGCUGUCUGCACCUAGCUUUUCCCAGGAUGCAUCUUAGAGGGUGAAAUUUGCUUAAAGCUGGGUAAAAUAGUCCAUAUGAACCUAGAGCUCAUUUUAAAGUUCUAUUUAUAGAUAGCAGAAAUGAGGAAACAACUACACUCUUUUUAUCCUACCCUUAUGUCAACAGCAGCAGACUGGGAAGCCCUAGAUUUCUUGGAAUACCAUUGUGUAAACCUAUCUGAGAUGAAAUGUGUUGAAUUGUUAGAUAUUUUUUUAUAAAUUCAAAAACUUUUUCAAAAUUGCUGGAAAUUCAAAUACUUUAUUUUUGCCAGAUUUGUUUGCUUAGUGAAUGUGCCAAACUGUCUUUGAAUACACAAAAAAUGUUUUAGCAUGGUGCUAUCCAGGGCUAAAAUCUGUCUGAUGAACUUCUGGAGAAAGCAGCUAUACUAUCUGAGAAUGAUUGA